GCAGCGGCCAUAGCGGUGGGGCGACACCCGUACCCAUUCCGAACACGGAAGUUAAGCCCACCAGCGUACCGGGAAGUACUGGAGUGAGCGAUCCUCUGGGAAGCGGGGUUCGCCGCCUGCC
rnacentral:rRNA from 13 species